AGGCGACUGCUCCCGCGAGGUCAGAGCCGGGCUGUGCCGCUGCCCCCGGGACUAGAAAGGGAAAUCUCCUUGCUAGAGGAGGAAGCCCUAAGAACUCAAGGGAGAUAGGGGUGGCAGGGGCAUUUCCCUGGAUGCCUGGAGCAUGGAGGGUGCGAAAUAAGGAGGCUUUCCUACCCCAUUGAUGAGCUGAAGUUGAUUCCGCACGGGGGAGGAAAGGGACAGGAAGCAUAAUUGGAUGUGCAAGCCUGUGGUUCUUCAGGAAGUUAACACGUGGAACUAACACUGUUGGAUGCUGCUGAACUCUCAGGUGAUUGAUGUGACUAACCUCCUCAG
rnacentral:lncRNA from 1 species